UGGGACGUCGCCAAGCGGUAAGGCACCGGAUUUUGAUUCCGGCAUCCGGAGGUUCGAUCCCUCCCGUCCCAGCCA
rnacentral:tRNA from 1 species